GCAUCCUUCUUCUUUAGGAUGGAACAAUAUACCCGUCCCUGGUUAUAGGUGGGCUUACUCACUUCUGCUGGGUUCACGGGCACAGAAGGGCUCUCCUCCAGUUUCAACUCUCAUUGUCUGGGAUGAGAGGAAACAGCACCAGCCAAGUGCAGGAGGAGGGUCACUGGAUCCGGGAAACAUUAGCACACUGGUCCAGAAAUGGCAUCUCCAGUAAGAGGCUGGGUCAGUUCACAAGCCUCUUGAGUGGCUGUUGUGAAAUAUCCUUGACACCAUCCAUCACCCUGUGUUCUUAUUCCAUCCACACCCAGAAAGUGGACUCUUGUUGACUAGGAACCUCCCAGAUAUUCAGUAUGGAAAUCUGAAGUCCUGGGGUGGGACAGAGAUGUGAGCAUACUUGUUUCUGGGAAGAUCAGUUUCUUCACACAUAACCAUAGACUAGAAAUUGGUUUGAACAUGUCUCCUGCAUCUACUUUCCGGGGCAACUUUCCUUGAGCUUGACCGACUCUGACAUUCUGCCAAAAAGUCUUGAUGAGAAAAGGAGGAAGCAAUUCUGAAUCACAUGGACUUUUCUGUUAUACUCCUAAUGGUCUUUAAAAAAAAAAAAAAAGCCACAAACAACAACAACGAAAAGCUUUAGCGAGGUAAAAUUUUUAUAUUGUAAUGUUUGCCCAUUUUAAGUGUGCAAUUCAAUCAUUUCUUUUCUAGUUAAAUUCCUAGGGUGCAACCAUGACUAUAAUUCCAUUUUAGAACUCUUCUAUUAGCUCACAAUGAUACUGGUGCUCUUUUGUAAUUAAUCCCUGUUUCCACCUCCUAGCCCCAGGCAACCACUGAUUGGCUUUCUGUGUCUAUAAAUUUGCCUUUUCUGAGCAUUUUGUAUAAAGGAAAUGAUGUAUUAUGCAGUCUUCUGCUUUUGGCUGCUUUCACCUUAGCAUAAUGUAUGGAUUCGUACAUGACAUAUGAGUACGUCAUUCCUUGUUAUGACUAAAUAAUAUUCUCUCAUACAGGUAGUCCACAUUUUGUUUAAAUUCAUGUUUUUUCCACUUUUUGGCAAUAUGAAUAAUACUGCUGUGAAUUUCUGUGUACCAAAAUCUAGUUUUGUGUAUAAGUAUUUUAAUUUCUCUUGGGUAGAUACCUGGGAGUGGGUUUGCUGGGUCACUCGGUAAAUUUAUGUUUCCCCAGUGCAGUCUUGAGCAGCCAUUGACCCAGCCUCCUCCUUAGCAUCAUGCAAAGUAAUAAUGGGAUAGCCUGAGAACUUAGCAACUAUGUGUUUAUAACAUUGACUCUGUAGGAGAGGCCCUAUUAGGACUUGUAAACUCUACCUACUUUUAAAAAACCAACAAACAAAAAACCAAAUUCUACCUACCUUUAAACUGAGGUUAGCCUCAUGGUAGCCAUCUGAGGUUGUGAUUUCAAUCCACUGAUUCUCUAAAAUACAAAAGACAUGAAAGCUUGUGGUGGCUAAGGGGUGAGAGGGAGGGAGCAGGAUGGACUGGGAGUUUGGGCUCGGUAGAUACAAACUAUUAUAUUUAGGAUGGAUAAGCAAUGAGGUCAUGCUGUAUAGCACAGGGAACUAUAUCCAAUCACUUGUGAUAGAACAUGAUGGAAGAUAAUAUGAGAAAAAGAAUGUAUAUAUGUGGCAUGACUGGGUCACUUUGCUGUGCAGCAGAAAUUGAUAAAACAUUGUAAAUCAAAUAUGCUUUAAUAAAAAAAUUAAUAAAAAAGACA
rnacentral:lncRNA from 1 species